CAUCCCCUCACCAUGGCCUGGACCCCGCUCCUCCUGGGCCUCCUGGCUCACUGCACAGUUUCUGUAUCUUCCUAUGAGGUGAAUCAGCCGCCCUCAUUAUCUGUGAGCCUGAGAGGGGAGGCCAAGAUGACCUGUGCGGGAGACAAAAUUGGAAACAAAUAUGUUACAUGGUACCAGCAGAAGCCAGACAAGGCGCCUGUGCUGGUCAUCUACAGGGAUAACAACCGGCCCUCAGGGAUCCCUGAGCGCUUCUCUGGCUCCAACUCUGGCAACCUGGCCACCCUGACCAUCACUGGAGUCCAAGCUGAGGAUGAGGCCGACUAUUACUGUGCAGCAGCUGGUACCAUUGAGGGCAGCUGGCAGUGA